GAUAACCAGUCUCCCCAGCACUAUUUGUUAAAAAGGCUGCCUUUUUGCCAACAUAAAGAAUUCUUAUCAUUUAUAUAGUAACUGUGGACCAAUAGAGGGUUAAAAAAUUACCAAAUGAAUUCAUAAUUAUCAACCAAGGUCAAUAUGCUGACAAAAAUGAUAUUUUUCAUUCUUUUUCAGUGGUAUAAUUUUGUUAUUGAUAGUUUUAUAUUUACUAGAAGGUAGUUUCUAUAAUUGACUUUUUUUACUUUGCUAGGUAUGGCAACAUAGAUAUAACAUCUUUGGAGUUUUAGUAGUUAAUGCCAGAAUUCAAAGCUGAUUUGAUUUUUUGAGGGGGUAGGUGGGUACCGGGUAUUGAACCCAGGAGCAGUUAGCCACUGGGCCACAUCCCCAGCCCUUUUUAAAAUUUUUUUUUUUGGUAUCGGGGAUUGAACUCAGGGGGGCUCAACCACUGAGCCACAUUUCCAGCCCCAUUUUGUAUUUUUAUACAGAGACAGGGUCUAAGUUACUUAGUGCCUUGCUAAGUUGCUGAGGCUGGCUUUGAACACGUGAUCCUCCUGUCUCAGCCUCCCUAGCUGCUGGGAUUACAGGCAUGCACCAAGCCUGACCCAAGUAAAUUAUUUAGAGACAGGGUCUCACUGAGUUGCCGAGGCUAGCUUUGAACUUGUGAUCCUUCUGCCUCAGCCUCCCAAGUUGCUGGGAUUACAAGUGUGCACCACUGCACCCAGCUAAAGCUGAUUUUUUUUCUUUAGUUGUAGUUGGACACAAUACCUUUAUUUUAUUUAUUUUUUUAGGUGGUGCUGAGGAUCAAACCCAGCGCCUCACACGUGCUAGGUGAGCGCUCUACCGCUAAGCUACAAUCCCAGCCCCUAAAGCUGAUUUUUAAAUAUAAGAUUAUUUAAUCACAUCUGAAUUCAAAUUCUAAAUUAUGUUCUCAAUGUGUAAGUUUCUUUGAAACCAUACUAUUUUUACAUUUCUCUCCUUUCUGUUUCCUUCCCAAGUUUUAGCUUUCAUCCUGAAUCACAACCCUUUAGGCUCAACUAAGUUUUCAGUGAGUAGGUUUUCCAGAAAUGAGUUAAGAGAAGAUAA
rnacentral:lncRNA from 1 species